GGAGAGAGUUCGGAAGAACUUAUGUAAGAUCAUUGCAGAAUAAUGAGUUUGUGACUUGUCUUUCCUUGUUGUGUUGCGACUUCAGGAUUUGGAUUGUAAUGUCGAUUGUCCUUUUAUUAUCAUCGUUGUGUAUUUCUCGUUGUUACUUGUUAUCCGUUAGUUUAUUCUGAUUGUAGCUCUUUUAGUCAUUCGUGUUGUCUUUACAUAGUAUAUAUAUCGUUUAUAUUAUCCCUAUGAUUAUACUGUUUAUUGACCGGUAGGUGUCUUGACUGUCCCUCGUCACUACUCCAUCGAGGUUAGUCUUGAUACUUACCUACGCAUCUGCCGCAUCCGUAGGAACGAGGAAUCUCCUUCUACUCUACCUUUUAAUUGGCAGUUCCAUUUCAUGUAUUCAGUUGUUGUAGACAUUCCGGGUAUUAGAGCCGUAAGUUAUGCCUUAUUCUUAGCCUGUGUUGCCCGUGCGUUUCCGGGUCUUCGAGGUUGUUACUGUAAUUUGAGUUGAAGUGUAUAUGCCAGGUGGUACUCUACACAUUUUAUCAUGAUAUUCAGUAUUUGUUUAUUAUUUUCGUAAAGGUUGUUAAAUUUUCGCAACGUAUUAGGCUUACCUAGUUGCGAAGACUGUGCGCUGUCAUGACAGGUUCACGAUUGGUGAACUAGGGUCGUGACAAGUUGGUAUCAGAGCUCUAGGUUCAUAGGAGUCACGGGACAGAGGCCGGUUAUUUAGAGUCUCGUUGAUCGGUACAUAGACGUCUGUACUUAUCUACAAGGGCCUAUGUAACUGUUUAGGAAACAUCUUCACUUCAUUUGACUUCCCUGUCAUGCUGGAAUUUUUAUUACCACAAUUCUAAACUUCUGCUUCCUACUCUCUCACAGAUGGUGAGGACACAUAUUGCCCGAGGUGAUCGGGCACCCGUGCCCCCUGGUGCAGCCGUCGGAGGUCGGGGUCGAGGUAGAGUUCGAAGACGCGCAUGUGGUGCAGCGAGAGCACCUGUGCGAGCGGCCGCCGAGGUACUACCAGCAGAUCCAACCGGAGUCCAGGCAUCUGACACGCCUACAAGUACUACUACUCCAGCCUUUCAGGAGACUUUGGCGCAGUUCAUGAGUAUGUAUACCACUUUGGCUCAUGUCGAGUUACUUCCUCUUGCUGCAGCCACACCCCAGGCCGGGGGAGGAGCACAGACUCCCACCGCCCGCACUCCUGAGCAGCUAGUGCAUAUUGAGCUAGUCCCUGAGAUUAUUCAUGCGCUACCUGUAGCACCAGUUCAGUCCGAGGGCAUGGCAGCGGCUUCCGAGCAAGAUCAGAUGAGACUUGAGUGAUUUAAGAGGUUUAAGCCUCCUGCGUUCAGUGGUUUAGCAUUGGAGGACGCAUCUUGAGCAGGUUCCCGAGAUUAUUCCUGCGCCGCCUGCAGCACCAAUUCAGCCCGAGGGCAUGGCAGAAGCUUCCAAGCAGGAGCAGAUAUGACUAGAGAGGUUCAAGAAGUAUGGUCCUCCAGUGUUCAGUGGAUUAGCAUCAAACGAUGCCUUGGGGUUUCUUGAUGAGUGUUACCGCAUUCUCCGUACUAUGGGUAUCUUUGAGUCGAGCGUGGUUUCUUUCACUACUUUCCAGCUUCAAAGGGCCGCCUAUGAUUGGUUUGCGCACCUAUGAGUUAGACAGCCCAUGAAAGGAAGCUUUACUAACUUGGAUCCAGUUUUCAGAUAUGUUCCUAAGAGAGUUUGUUGAGGGACCGCCUAUGAUUGGUGGCGCACCUAUGAGUUAGACAGCCUAGAGUAGGCAGCUUUACUAACUUGGGCCCAGUUUUCAGAUAUGUUCCUGAGGGAGUUUGUUCCUCAGAGUCUCAGGGAUGCAUGGCACGCGGAGUUUGAGCAUUUGCGCCAGGGUGCUAUGACUGUCUCAGAGUAUGCUGUCUGUUACACCAGUUUGGAUAGACAUGCCUCAGCCUUACUUUCUACUGUUCGCGAGAAGGUUCGCCGAUUUAUUGAGGGGCUUAUUCCCAGCAUCAGGUUCAGUAUGGCCCGUGAAUUAGAGAUAGAUAUCAGCAAGUCGUGAACAUUCCUAGGGGGAUAGAUGGUAUGCAUGCUAGAGAGAGAGGGGGGGGUGGGGAAGGCAGGGUCUUGAGAGAGGGAGAAGAAGAGAUUGGGAGAGAGAGCAUGUGGAGGCGAGGAGGCCUCGUACUCCGGUGAGAUAUACUGGUCCUUAUUUUGGAGGCAGUGUGCGUCAUGGUAGAGGUUUUUCGGGUCAGCUAGUUCAUUUUGCGCUUCAAGCCUUGCAUGGUGACUCGGGUAUUCAUGGGUCUCGGACGACCCGUACCGCACAGUUUCCACCACCUCGUCAGCAGAGAGGGUGUUUUGAGUGUGGAGAUAUUAGCCACAUGGUGAGAGCUUGUCCUAGACUUUGGACUGACGUGUCGCAGCGAGGUAUUCAGAUAGGGAAAAGGCACCCAAAAGGGGGAGGCAAGCACGUUGAUGUGUCUCAUAUAGCAGGUUUGAGGCCGGUGCGCCAGCUAUGUCACUCAGGUAUGGAUUCAAUUUGUUACAGAAAGGCACUAUCUGUAGUUCAUCACAAUUCUACUUAUCGGAUUGAGUUCCUUGCUUGUUGUUCCAUUUAUGGGAUUGUUUCAUGAUUUGUACUCUGUAUAUGUGAUUAUUUUGUUGGGAGGUUUUAUGAGUGAUAGUCGUGUCUAUCGUCUAUUUUAGCCAUUGUCGGGAGUCAUAGAGGCUACUGGUAUUUCCUAUUGUCUGUUCUGAUAGGCUUGAUGUGAUUUCCUAGCAUUCCUGGUUACGAGCUGUGAUUUUUAUGCUUCAACUGUGUGGGAGCUGGUCUAUGUUGUAAAUUGUAGACGGAAUUGAUCUAGUGAGAGUCUCUAGAUGGGUUGAUGUGUACCCUACUUGUGAUCUAGUGUUGAGGGCGAGACCCUCGUGAUAGCAGGUGAAUUGAUAUGUUGAGACCGGGCUUGUACUGCGGCGAGAGCUAUAUCAGUAUAAGACCUUUGUGAGUCCAUUAUAUGCUUUCAUUUUUUCGUGUUAGAUGUCUUGUAGAUUUGUGUUUAGAAGACUUUUGUGCUAGUUUAAUUUGUUUGUUAGUUCUCUUUGUGUUUCCUUUCCCAUAUUCAUUCAUUUUCGUUAUAUGCUCUUGAGUUUUAAUUGUGGGGUGUGUACCCAUUGGUGUUGGCUGAGAUUGGGUUAAUCGGGUGUUUCGUCAUGUGGUUUUCAUGGUUGUUGUAUCAUCGCUAGUGUAUGGGUGGUUGAAAAGAGUUCCUAUUUAAUAUGAGGCUUAUGGCCGGUACAGAUUUGAUCUCAGGCAUUUAUUGCUAUAGGAAAUAUUAUUGUGGGACUAUGUGUGGUGUGCUGUGGUGUACCCUGUGUGUUGACAUGUGUUGAAUUAUUUGGUUGAGACAGAUAUCGGAUAUGGACUUGGGAUCGGGUCUUUUGGAAAUGGAUGGAACUUGAGGGAUCUGGAUUGAAGGCUUAAUGGUAUUUCUAGAAGGGUUAAAUUUUAGUUGAGAUGACGUCGUCGUGCCAAAAUGGAUUGGGGUGACCUGGGGUCACCCACAGGUGUAUGUUGGAAGUGCGCACUCAAUGAUUUGAGGACUUCGAGGUGAAUCUUAGCACGUUCGAGGACGAACGUUGGUUUUAUGAGGGGGAGGAUGUAACGACCCGACCGUUCAUUUGAAAAAAAAAAGAUUAAGCUCCGUUCAGCGGCAUAAGGUCUGGAACAGCUUCAUAACAUGAGUAUCGACUUGCGUGCAUCAUCGGUUCGGGUUUUUGAAAAAUCUUAGAAAGGAUUUUUAGAAGUGGCUUUCAUUUGAGAAGCUUCAAUUAACCAAGAAUUGGCUUUUGUGUAUUUGAUCAUGGAUUGGAGUUUCGAUGGUUCCGAUAGUCUCGGGUUUUGAAUUUUUGCAUUUAGGCGUAUGUCCGAAUUUGGAUUUGAAGGUCCAAUACAAUUCACUCUUUGUUUUAUGACUUUAUUCCUAUAUGAUGUUUGGAUAAAAGUUUGGGUGGAUUCUCUUUUUGCUUAAUAUCUUAAGAUUAAUUUUGUUCUUUGUGUAAUUUGCAUUGCUUGAUCUAGAAAGAAAUUAGCACACUGUUUUAGUUUAAGGCGAAGCUAGAAAAUUCUCGAAUUACUCAUUUGCGUACUUUUUUCUUUCUUUAUUCAUGAUAAGUGAUUGCCAUAUACAUUUGUUUGUUGGUAGACAAUUUUUAUAAAUAUUUUUAAUUAAUUUGAAUCAAUUUAAUUUAAGAUUUCAUCUGUUGUAAGUAUAUAGUGUUAAACAAAACAUGUGUCUCUAUUGAUUAAUCAAUGUGAACCUUAAAUUAGACACCAUUAAACCUAACGAAUUAGCACCAUAGCAGCCCAACUGAAACCUCCUCAAAACAGCCCUUGAACCCCCCAAAAACGUCACCCACCAACCAGCAAACACAAUCCAAAGCUCGCCUUGAAAUCUGCCCCAAAAUUCACCUCCAUUAACAGCAAUAUCCAGCUUCAAAGUUGCUGCAAAAUGCAGCAACUCUCUUCCCCAAUCCAGCCACGAAGUUAAGCUCCAAAAACACCCUUAAACCAGCUCUGUUCCCCAAUCCAGCCACGAAAUUAAGCUCCAAAAACACCCUUAAACCAGUCAAAAAUAGCUCCAAAUUCGCCCCAAAUAAUCACUGAAAAGCGCAGCUGAAACAAAUCCGAAAUCUAACUGCGUCGCACCACAAAACCUCCUCGUUUCCUCCCUUAAAAUCAGCCAUGUGAGAUAGCCAGAUCCAGUGCAAAACGGCCCCUGAAAUCUCCAUUGAAAUAAGCCAAAUAAAGCUCCAAAAGUGCAACUGGAAAGGGCACAAAAACAGUCCCAAACCUAACCCGAAACAGCCCUCUAUUAAGCCCAACGAAACAUUCUUGUAAUCGUUGCAUUUCAGCUAUAAGGAAAGUGCCUCGUUUUCUUUUCACUUCUGGAUUUUGACAAGUUUUUAGGCUGCUAAAGAAGUUGUUAUGAGGUCUAAUUGAAGCAAGUCGAGAUUCUGAGGUCUCCGAUGUGAGAUUCAGUCCAAGAUCCGGUUGUCGACUCAUGUAUCGACUCUUGAACCGUCCGGAGGUCAUGUCACCCGAGAAGUGCGUUUUAGAGUAUCGAUUGUCGUCUUUGAGGUAAGUAUCUGGCCAUACCUUAUGAAGGGGACUUCCCCUUAGGAUUUGAGUCUUACCUGUUACUUGUAUUCCUUGUACGCGAGGUAACGAGUGUGUACUCGGAUUUAUUUGUGGUAAAUUAUCCCUUUUAGGCUACUAGACUCUUGAAAUCACCGAGCAUGAAGAUGAUAUGGAUACGAUUGAGUUUCCUGUUAUUAGUUUCACUUCUAUAUGUGUUACUUGGUAUUUGUUUGACCUUCUUGAUUUAUUCUUGCUGUUUAAUGGACCUUUACGUGCUUAACUGAAGACAAUUACCCUUCUAUAGUCAUAUUACCCGNNNNNNNNNNNNNNNNNNNNNNNNNNNNNNNNNNNNNNNNNNNNNNNNNNNNNNNNNNNNNNNNNNNNNNNNNNNNNNNNNNNNNNNNNNNNNNNNNNNNNNNNNNNNNNNNNNNNNNNNNNNNNNNNNNNNNNNNNNNNNNNNNNACUUAAAUGGAAAGAAGAUAGAUAUCUUAUGAUUAGUUGUUAUUUCCUUAAAUUGUAAUUAUUUGAUUCAUGUUGACUUCUUACUGUUGGUUACUCCUUUAUUGUAAACUCAUCUGUAACUUCGUGCAAUUAUACUACAUGUCCAACUGUUGUGGUAUCGGUGUAGUUAUUAUGCACUUAUUAUGUCUUGUUGUCGUCGAGGUUAUUGUUCUUGGUGUUCUGUGGCCAUAGUAGAUAAUGUUGAUUUCCCUUGCCGGGACGUUAUUGUUUCCGUUGUUGAUUCCGUUGCUAGGACCUUAUUAUUUCCGUUGUUGAUUCCCUUGCCGGGACAUUACUGUUUCUGUUACUGAUUCCCUUGCCGGGACGUUAUUGGUUCUGUUGUUGAUUCCCUUACCGGGACAUUAUCGUCUCAAUUGUUGAUUCCCUGUUGGUACUUUGAUGCACGAGGUCUCUGCCGUGCGGUUGUUGUUGGAGAGUUGCACGAGUUCUUUGCCGUGUUAUUGUGACUAUUGAUGUUUUUGCACAUGUGGCAUAAUAAGGCGGGAUAUGUUAUAUGCUUAUAUGUGGAUUGCACAUGUGGUGGAAUAAGGUGGGAAUAUUGUGAUGCACGCGUGGCGAAAUAAGGCGGUUCUUGCUACAUUGUUAUUGGUUGCACACGUGGCGAAAUAAGGUGGGCUAUGUCAGGGGCUGAUUGUGAUGAAUUGUGAAGGCCCGUGGAGGCAUUUUUCCUAUUUUUGUUUAUUAUUGGUAUGUUGGACUAUGGGUUCAAUUCCCGAGAGAUCCUUCGUUAUUGGUAUAAUGGACUACGGAUUCAAUUCCCGGGAGAUUCUCUGUUAUUGAUAUGAUGGACUACAGGUUCAAUUCCCCGGAGAUCCUCUGUAUUGGUAUGAUGGACUACAAGUUCGAUUCCCGGGAGAUCCCCAUUAAACUCAUUGUGUUCUGAACUGGCAUUUUCAUUGAUUCUAUCCGGGUGUGAAUAAGCCGAGUGCUAGUCGAUCCUUUUUUCUUAUGCUUACCAGUUGGUAGGAUUCCUGUUAGAUACACUUGCACAAGCACACACGUAGUUGGACCCUCCUAUUAGAGAUGAAUCCCUCCUGUUUUGGCUAGGGGUGAGGAUGUGCCCUUGUUUACCCAUUAUAUAUGUGAAAGUAACCCUAGUUGACUAGUUAGAUGUCAGCAUGACCGUGUUAUUGGUGGGGCACUAGAUGCUGGGUUUUCAUGAGCCGUGGCUGGUCUGAGAGUUCGUGGUAGAAUUAUGGAGAGAGUUCGGAAGAACUUAUGCAAGAUCAUUGCAGAAUAAUGAGUUUGUGACUUGUCUUUCCUUGUUGUGUUGCGACUUCAGGAUUUGGAUUGUAAUGUCGAUUGUCCUUUUAUUAUCAUCGUUGUGUAUUUCUCGUUGUUACUUGUUAUCCGUUAGUUUAUUCUGAUUGUAGCUCUUUUAGUCAUUCGUGUUGUCUUUACAUAGUAUAUAUAUCGUUUAUAUUAUCCCUAUGAUUAUACUGUUUAUUGACCGGUAGGUGUCUUGACUGUCCCUCGUCACUACUCCAUCGAGGUUAGUCUUGAUACUUACUGGGCACCGCUGUGGUGUGCUCAUGGAUUAUACUGUUUAUUGACCGGUAGGUGUCUUGACUGUCCCUCAUCACUGCUCCAUCGAGGUUAGUCUUGAUACUUAC
rnacentral:lncRNA from 1 species